rnacentral:misc_RNA from 1 species
AUCUACAAAUGAUUAGAUACAUGUAUUGUAUCAUGCAAUUUAGAUUUUCACUUUGGUUAUUUCUCUGAGUUUUAGAUUGGUCUGUCUGAUAAAAGACAAUCAAUAAAUGGCAGGGUUUUUUAAAUCAUUAAUGAGUAUUCUAACUUUAACAUUUCCAUUCAUGUGUUUAUGUGUCCGUCUGACUGUCUGUCUGUUCGUUUUCUUGUUUUUCAUUACUCACAAAAUGUCUUUCAUUUAAAUACAAUGUAUAUUAAAUGUAAUGCAUUUAUGAAAUAUAAACAGAGUAUCGUAAUCUACAUGUAUAAUUAGAAUAUCAUAAGUUGUCUUGUAGUCAUUUUACGUCAUAAAGCUGUGUUUCCUAAGCCUAACUUGUAAAAAUUAAGACCAUAACAUAUCCUAAUUCCAUGAUUGUCAAAUCAGUAAUUUUUAUACAAAAAAAUUCUAAUUUAAUUUCUCGUACAUAAUUUGCGACACAUAUGAUAAUAUUUUGAAUUAGAUUUAUUAAGAUGCUAUUCACAAUGAAUGUACAUGUACAUUUAUGUUGAACUUUCAUGAUUAUUAGACUGGAUUUUUUUUUGAUUUGCAUGCAAUUAGUUAUUCAGAAAAUAUGUUGCUGUAAAACAAGGGUUGUCUUGCUUUGUAUUAAAUCAUUGUUUAUUGU